UCAGUGCUUCACAGCUUUUUCUAGACUGCUUCUCCUCAAUUCUGUGAUUCUUCCUUUUCAUAUGAGGUUCUAAGUAUUCUAAGAUGACUUUAAUAUGACCUCCCUUUGGGAGCAGCUCCACAGGGCUCUCACAGGUCCAAGAGGAAAAGACUCCAGAGUGGGGUGACUUGCUCUGUAAAGCAUUUGGUGAUCAGCACAAGACUCCUGUUGCCUUAACAGUGAAGUGAAGUGAAAUAAAGCUCAGCUCAGUCUGGAUCUCCCUAGAGAUGGAACUUAAUUAUGACCCAGCAUGUUUGUUCAACUGCUGCAGACCUACACAUUUUGGUGUCACUACUUCUGGUUUUACUGAGGCCACUGCACAGCAGAGGAGAAGGGCCUGGACAUUCCUUUUUAUCCCCACAAGCAUGGUUGAGAAGAGUGACCAACGAAAAUGAAUUUGGAGAAAAAUGCUGCUUUUUACUGAUGCCUGCAAUUGUUGGAUCUCUGAUAUUGUAGUUCCCAUAACAACAUCCAAAUGACUGAGGACUCUGCACCAUUGCUGUCCAUUGAACCUACAGGAUGUGGCUGCUAUUGCUCCAGUUUCCUCAUUUCUCUGAGAAAGGCAAGUGCUUUGGGAAGCUGGCUCCAUGUUUUGUUCCAGCAAACAAAACUUUACUGCUAUGCAUUGUCUGUAUUUUUCCAUCUAUAAAACCAACAAAACCCGAACACCUAGUAUUGGGAAAUUCUUACAUCCCACUUACAAUUCAUGUCUUUGUUCUCCUUUGAGUGCCCAGAGAAAUACAGUACAGCUGUAUAUUUGUUGUUGGAAAAUUAUAGCAACCAAGAAAUGAAAAUAUUCUUUUUGUAAGUUACAUUUUAUUUCCAGCUGAGUUGUAUCAGCUUAGGCAGAACAAUAGCAGAAUCCAGCACCUUAAGAGGUUGAGG
rnacentral:lncRNA from 1 species